UACGAAGGGGGCUAGCGUUGUUCGGAAUUACUGGGCGUAAAGCGCGUGUAGGCGGGCCGUUAAGUCGGGGGUGAAAGACCAGAGCUCAACUCUGGAAUUGCCUUCGAUACUGGCGGCCUGGAGCAUGAUAGAGGCGAGUGGAAUUGCGAGUGUAGAGGUGAAAUUCGUAGAUAUUCGCAGGAACACCAGUGGCGAAGGCGACUCGCUGGAUUAUUGCUGAAGCUGAGACACGAAAGCGUGGGGAGCGAACAGG
rnacentral:rRNA from 1 species